CCUACGGGUGGCAGCAGUGAGGAAUAUUGGUCAAUGGGCGUAAGCCUGAACCAGCCAAGUCGCGUGAGGGAUGAAGGUUCUAUGGAUGGUAAACCUCUUUUAUAGGGGAAUAGAGUGCGGGACGUGUCCCGUUUUGUCUGUACCUUAUGAAUCAGGAUCGGCUAACUCCGUGCCAGCAGCCGCCGUAAUACGGAGGGUCCGAGCGUUAUCCGGAUUUAUUGGGUUUAAGGGGUGCGUAGGCGGCUUUUUAAGUCAGAGGUGAAAGCCUGUGGCGCAACCAUAGAAUUGCCGUUGAGACUGGGAGGCUGGAGUAGAGUAGAGGCAGGCGGAAUGCGUGGUGUAGCGGUGAAAUGCUUAGAUAUCACGAAGAACCCCGAUUGCGAAGGCAGCCUAC
rnacentral:rRNA from 1 species